CCGCCAUCUUGUUUCGAUAUUUUUGAUUACUCCCGCCCCUAUGAGCUACGUUGGCCUCCAAAUCACACACACGCCGAACUGAUUGGCUCUCAGCAUGCAGCAAAUCGCUCUCAUUUGCAUAAGGUUAAAGAAUGCCCAACUUUCUGCAGGCAGCAAACACGAUUUUUUCCUCAGUAUGCAGCAAAUCGCAUCCAUUCUAUCCCAAUGAGAGCAGUCCUACUGUGGCUGUGGCCUACUACCAGUGCUACUACCAAUCCUACUACCAAUCCUACUGUGGCUGUGGCCUACGACCAGUGCUACUACCAGUGCUACUGUGGCUGUGGCCUACUACCAGUGCUACUACCAAUCCUACUACCAAUCCUACUGUGGCUGUGGCCUACUACCAGUGCUACUACCAAUCCUACUACCAGUGCUACUGUGGCUGUGGCCUACUACCAAUCCUACUACCAGUGCUACUACCAGUGCUACUGUGGCCUACUACCAAUCCUACUACCAGUUCUACUGUGGCCUACUACCAAUCCUACUACCAGUGCCACUGUGGUCUACUACCAAUCCUACUACCAGUGCUACUGUGGCCUACUACCAAUCCUACUACCAGUGCUACUGUGGCCUACUACCAAUCCUACUACCAGUGCUACUGUGGCUUACUACCAAUCCUACUACCAGUGCUACUGUGGCCUACUACCAAUCCUACUACCAGUGCUACUGUGGCCUACUACCAAUCCUACUACCAGUGCUACUGUGGCCUACUACCAGUGCUACUACCAGUGCUACUGUGGCCUACUACCAGUGCUACUACCAGUGCUACUGUGGCCUACUACCAAUCCUACUACCAGUGCUACUGUGGCCUACUACCAGUGCUACUACCAGUGCUACUGUGGCCUACUACCAAUCCUACUACCAGUGCUACUACCAGUGCUACUACCAGUGCUACUACCAGUGCUACUGUGCCCAGCAACAUAACGGUGUAAACAGAAUUAACCGACCACCAUCUUGCCCAUAACCCAAGUAUGCUCCACCGACCCCACUGGGCACAUGCCUUUCAGGCGUCCCAGCUAACAGCUCGCUCUGUGACGGCUCCUAUCCAGAUCUGCUGAGGAUCAGCUAACAGCUCGCUCUGUGGCGGCUCCUAUCCAGA
rnacentral:lncRNA from 1 species